CCCCGCGGGGCCAAGGAAGGUCAGGGUCACUGCAGGCGCCCUCAAACCCCAGGGACACUUGGGGGAUGGGGCUGGGCAGCCACCAGGAUGGAAUUCUUGUGAGCGAGGGGCCCUGCCUUUGGGGGUUGCACCCCUGUGGGAGGCCCGCCAGGCCUGACUGCCACGGGCACAGCCUAAAGACACCAGGAUAAACCCAGAUGCUGUUGUCCGGGGUUUCAAAACAUGCAUCGGAUGUUUCAGAUUAAUUCAAUUACUUUUUCGAUGUGCGUCUUCCUAGAGGGAAGAUCCAGAAAGGGAGACAAAACCCUGCAAGUGGUUCACCCGACAGGGCUGUGCUGUGGGUGACCCCUGGGCAGGUGCAAUAGCCAUUCGCUUAACCAGGGACCCGCCCCCCGCCCCGCCACUGCCCUGGGAGGAGCUGACUCUGGUCUUCCCUGCCAGUUUCCCCAAGCUGUUAGGUAGGCCAUGAGCCCCCAGAGGCCCUGCACUCACUAACGGUCGAGGGGCAGAAUUUGUCUUUGUUGGCACCAAAGGCAUACAGGCGGCAGCAAGAGGAUGGGGUCAGCCAGUCAAUGAAGUCAUCCACCCAGGAAGAGGCAGGGAUGGCCAGGAGAAGCUGUCGCAUCCUGCGCUCGAGCAAAUGGCAUUCAUUCCCGCCUCGCUGGAGAAGUUGUAGCCUCCAGUGGUGACAAAGUAGACUGGAGCCCCCACCUCAAAGUAGCGGUUCAGAAAGAGGAAAUAGUCGAGCAGCACAGCCCACAGGCGUGUGCACGUGGAGACAGGCGGUGUGUCAGGCACCUGCAUGGCCUGUUCCUUUCUCCCAAAACCUCUGAGCGCUGGAAGAGAAGAUGGAGUACGAGAAGCCAGGAGUCCACCCCCACCCCCAACCUAGACACAACCGCACAACCCGUCUGAUGGGGUCUGCAGCCCUGGGGGCAGUUGAGGGCUCGCAGCUUCCAGGGAAAGGCCUGGAUGGUGAACUGUGCUUCGUGUCAACACCUUCAGCUCCCAGCACAUGCAGGUGUCCCAGGGGCAGUUUGUAUACCGCUUGCGGGGUCCAGCGUGGGACAUAAGGACCCCACACUCUAUACAUGGCGGAUUUGCAUUCUGAUUGCCGGUCACUGAGCUUCUGAUCUCAGUGGUGCAGAGUCAGGCUGUACUGUGGUUUCCCCCGCCUCCAGCUGGCCCGACUGCCAGGAUAUUUAAAUGGCAAGUGACUGGCUUAUUUUCCGCUUCAUGUUUCCCCUUUUUCUCCUUUGGGGAGCCAGCCAUUUAAGGAAUAGGACAUUCAAACGCAAAUACCGAAGUCACCGCACAUUACCAGGGAAAGGCACAGGCUCAUCAGACUUUAAUUUUAUACCACAGGCUAAUCUCCCAGACACAGACACAGCAACGUCACAUUUGGGGGGAAAAAAAAGCAAACCUUAGAGAAGGGAGGAGAAUCUGAUCUUCAGAGUUACCAUA